ACGGAAGGCAGCAGCUAAGAAUAUUCCGCAAUGGACGAAAGUCUGACGGAGCGACGCCGCGUGGAUGAUGAAGGUCGGAAGAUUGUAAAAUCCUUUUAAGCAUGAAGAAUAAGCAGGACAGGUAAUGGUUCUGUGGUGACGGUAGUGCUUGAAUAAGCAACGGCUAAUUACGUGCCAGCAGCCGCGGUAAUACGUAAGUUGCGAGCGUUGUUCGGAAUUAUUGGGCGUAAAGGGCAUGUAGGCGGAUAUGCAAGCUUGGUGUGAAAGGCGGGAGCUUAACUCCCGGACUGCGUUGAGAACUGUAUAACUAGAGUGACUGAGGGGCAGGCAGAAUUCCAGGUGUAGGGGUGAAAUCUGUAGAUAUCUGGAAGAAUACCAAUGGCGAAGGCAGCCUGCCAGCAGAUGACUGACGCUGAGGUGCGAAGGUGCGGGGAGCAAACAGGAUUAGAUACCCUGGUA
rnacentral:rRNA from 1 species